rnacentral:lncRNA from 1 species
CGGCAGCGCGGAAGGCCAGCCUGCAGAGAGGCUGGGCCCAGCGCCCUGACUGACCCAGCCCCGCCACGUCCAAGGUUCCCGCCCUCUGGAGGAAGCCGCGCAAUCACUCCGGGGGCGGGGAGAGACAGACAACUGAGAGGAAGGAGGUACCACGGGCACUCUCUCGCGAGAGGGCCGCAGAGCCGCCUUUGACGGGGGCGUGUACCUGGAGAGCAACGCUCUUGACAAAAUUCUCAGGGAAAACUCUUCAGCUCUGGAUGUCUCCCUUUUUGUGGAUCAAACACAAAGGGCAUCAUUCUAAAAUAUAUACAGAACCAUAAAAGCCCCAAAUAGCCAAAGCAACCCUGAGCAAAAAGAACAAGGCUGGAAGCAUCACACUACCAGACUUCAAAAUUUACUACAAAGCUCUAAUACCUAAAAUAACAUGGUACUGGCAUUAAAAAAAAAAAAAAAAUAGGCACAUAGACCACCAAUGAAACAGUAUAGAGAAUCUAGAUAUACCAACUCAUCUUUAACAAAGGUGCCAAGAACAUACAAUGAGGAAACGAUGGUCUUUUCAAUAAAUGGUGUGGGGGAAAGCUAGAUAACUAUAUGCAGAAGAAUGAAACAAGAUUCCUCUCUCUCGCUAUACACAAAAAUCAAAUCAAAAUGGAUUAAAGGCUUAAAUCUAAGACCUGAAACUACAAAACUAGAAGAACACACUGGAGAAGUGCUCCAGGACCUUGGUCUGGGAAAAGAUUUUUUUGUUUAAGACCUCAAAAGCACAGACAACAAAGCAAAAACAGACAAAUGAGAUUACAUUAAGCUAAAAAGUUUCUGCACAGCAAAGGAAACACUCAACAGAGUGGGGGAGACAACCCACAGAAUGAGAGAAAACAUUUUCAAACUAUCCAUCCGACAAGGGAUUAAUGACCAGAAUAAAGAGACCAAACAAUUUAAGCCAAAAACAAAACAAACAAACACACAAAAAAAACAAAAGCCAAAUAAUCUAAAAAGUGGGCAGGUUGGGUGGGGUGGCUCAAGCCUAUAAUCCCAGCACUUUGGGAGGCCAAGGCAGGCAGGUCAAGAGAUCGAGACCAUCCUGGCCAACAUGGUGAAACCCCAUCUCUACUGAAAAUACAAAAAAAAUUAGCCGGGUGUGGUGGCAUGUGCCUGUAGUCCCAGCUACUUGGGAAGCUGAGGCAGUGAGAAUCGCUUGAACCUGGGAGGCAGAGGUUGCAGUGAACCAAGAUCACACAACUGCACUCCAGCCUGAUGACAGAGCGAGACUCCAUCUUGAAAAAAAAAAAAAAAAAAGUGGGCAAAAGAUCCAAACAGACAUUUCUCAAAGGAAGACAUAAAAAUGGCCAACAGGUAUAUGAAAAAAUGCUCAACAUUACUAAUCAUUAGAGAAAUGCAAAUUAAAACAACAUGUUAUUUCACCCCAGUUAAAAUGGCUUGUAUUAAGAAAACAGAUAAUAACAGAUGCUAGUGAGGAUGUGGAGAAAAGAGAACCCUCAUACACUGUUGGUAGAAAUGUAAACUAGUACAACCACUAUGAAGAACAGUAUGGAAGUUCUUCAAAAAACUAAAAAUAGAAUUACCAUAUGAUCCAGCAAUUCCACUACUGAAUAUGUAUCCAAAAGAAAGGAAAUCCGUAUAUCAAAAAGAUAUCUGCACUCCCAUGUUUAUUGCAGCAUUGUUCACAAUAGCCAAGAUAUGGAAUUAACCUAAGUGCCCAUCAAUGGGUGAAUGGAUAAAGUGUGGUAUGUAUGCACAAUGAAAUAUUAAUCAGCCAUAAAAAAUAAUGAAACCCUCUCAUUUGCAGCAACAUGGAUGAUACUGGCGACCACUAUGUUAAAUAAGCCAAGUACAUAAAGACAAAUAUUGCAUGUUGUCAGUCAUACAUGGGAGCUAAAAAUGUGGAUUUCAUGAUGACACAGAGUACAUUGGUGGUUACCAGAAGCCAGAAAGGAGGGGAUGGAGUAGGGGAUGAAGGGGGAAAAAGGAUAUAAGUGUACUUAUUACCACUGAACUGUACACUUAAAAUGGUAAAGAUGGUAUGUUAUGUAUUACCUCAGUUUACAAAAGAAAAAACAAAUGGCAUCAACGUUAAUAAGUGUAAAAGUUGUACUAGGGAUAAAUCCGCCAUUUAAAAGGGAAAUUAGAAAUCUGAAAUAAUGAGUGCAGUUAGACUCUGAAACCCUUGAAGUCCCCAAAAGUCUCAUUCAGAACUGGUCCCAAAAUGAAUACGUACUUUUGUAUCAUUGUCUAAUUAAAGCUGCUUUUUUCAAGUAUUAGUUUGCUUCAAAAUUAAUCUUUUUAUUUGUACUAUUAUUAUGAGUGUUAUUUCCUAUUCUUCAGGUAUAUUUUUUGGAGAACAGUGUUAGUGAAAAGAGCUUGACUGUUAGACAGUCUUGAGUUAAAAUUCACGUUAGCUGUGACGAAGAAACUAUUACAUUAAAUUUUAAUUACUUAAUUUUAUUAUCUACAAUUAAGGAUAAUAAUAUCACCAAAGGUUGUGGAGAGGAUUUAAUGGGAUGACACAUAAAACUAGGACAUAGAGGCAUCUAGCAAAUACACACUUCCUUCCCUUCUCCCUUGUUAUAUACUUAUCCACACGGGCUAGGAUUUCUUUGAAGGAACCAUUUCUAUCUUAGCCAGUGUUCUAUCUGAGGUAUUUGAUGCUCUCUGCUUUUUUCUUUCACACCCCACUUUCAGUCUCUCAGUAUGUACUGUGAGCUCUGCUUUCAGACUAGAUUCGUAACUCAGUGAUUUCCUACUCCUCCACAACCACCACCCUGGUCCAGGCCAUCAUCAUUUUUCAUCUGGACUACUGUAGUCACUUCCUAACUGGACUCCCAACUUCCACUCUUGCUGCUUGCCAUUUAUUGUUCACAUAGCAGCCAAAGUUAUUCUUUCAUAAAUUAGAUCAUGUCACUUCUCUGCUCAAAACCUUCCAAGAGCUCUCCACCACUUUUAGACUAAAUAUCUGAAGUCCUUACCAAAUCCUACUAGAUCUAUGUGAUUUGACCCCAGCCUAUCAUUCGGACUUCAGACCUCUCUCCUGCUACCUUACUGUGCUCCAGCAGCACUGGCCUCCUUGCUGUUCUUUUUUUUUUUUUUUUUUUUUUUUGAGAUGGAGUUUUGCUCUUGUUGCCCAGGCUGGGGUGCAAUGCUGUGAUCUUGGCUCACUACAACUUCCGCCUUCCAGGUUCAAGCAAUUCUCCUGCCUCAGCCACCCAAGUAACUGGGAUUACAGGCGCCUGCCACCACACUCAGCCAAUUUUUUGUAUUUUUAGCAGAGAUGAGGUUUCACCAUGUUGGCCAGGCUGGUCUCGAACUCCUGACCUCAGGUGAUCCUCCUGCCUUGGCCUCCCAAAGUGUUGGGAUUACAGGCAUGAGCCACCGCUCCCAGCCCUCCUUCCUGUUCUUUGAUGGUGCCAAGCAUACUCCUGCCUUGGGGCCUUUACAUCUGCUGUUCCCUCUGCCUGGAAUGCUCUUUCUAGAUUUUUAAUGCCUUACUUUCUCAUUUUCUAACUCAGAGAGGCUGAACCUAGGUACCUCAUUUUAAACAGAUACCCCUGCAAGGGUUUCUUCCUCUCCUUAUGCUUAUUUUCCUCAUAGCACUUACCCCACAUUGAUAUUGAGAUUUUUUUUCUUUCUUUUCUUUCUUUUUCUCUUUCUUUCUUUUUCUUUCUCUUUCCUUCCUUCCUUCCUUUCAUUCUUUUCUUUUUCCUUCCUUCCUUCCAUUCUUUUCUCUCUCCUUCCUUCCUUCUCCCUUCCCUCCCCUCCCCUCCCCUCAUAUAGGGGUCUCACUAUGUUGCCCAGGCUCCUGGACUCAAGUGAUCUUCCCACCUUAGCCUCCCAAGUAGCUGGGAUUAUAGGCACACACCAGCACACCUGACUCUAUGUAGUCCCACCUGAAAUGUAAGUUUCCCUCUGAAAUACAGGUUCAAUACUUUGUUUUGUUCACUUUGUAUCAUCAGCAUUUACAUCUGCCAGGCAUUCAAAAAUAUUCGUUGAAUAAGUAAGUGAGCAAACUUACCUGCUUCCACAGCCAUCCUUUCCCCUCUCCCUAGAGAUGUUUUUCUUCCUGUCUGAGAUUAUAAUGUCUCCCCUGUGUCCUGCCUCCUCAGCAUUCCUUAAUAUUGCCUAUCUUCCACAUUCAGUUCUCCCUGGCUACAUUUUUUGUUUUCUGGCAAGCAUACAUCUCUCCCAUCUUAAAUUAAAACAAAAAAAGAGAAAGAAAAUUCUCUCUGGGCAUCCCCUGUCAGCUGCCAGUCUCUGUCUCUCCUGCUCUUAACAAACUUUUGAAAUAUUUAUUUAUACUCUUUGCAUUGCCUCAAUUCUCUUUCAUUCAAGUUUCUCCAAACCCAUAGAAACUGUUCACUCCUGCUUUAAACUUUCUUUCCUGAGCUCUUCCAAGAUAUUACUCUCUUAUUGUUUUUUUAAUCUUACUUCCCUGAUUGCUACUUUUCCUGUCCCUCCCUCAAAUUUUGUAUAUCACAGCGUUCUGAUACAAGUUCUUCAUGUUCUCCAGAUUCUUCCUUGGCAAUCUUACUACAUCCAUUGCUUUAGUUACCACCUAAACCUGGAAGCCCAGCUCAGAUUUCUCUGUACUAAGCUCAUGACUUAUUUGACCUAGUGUCUACUUGAUAUCCACCUUGAUUUCCACAAGCACCUCAAAAUAAAGAUGCCCUCUUCCAUCUCCAAACUUGAUUCUCCUCCAGUGUUACUUAUUUUAGUGAGUGGUAGCAUCAUCCAGUUGCUCAAGUAGAAAACAUGGAUAUUGUCCUUGAUUUAUCCUUCGCCUUCAGCCCCCUUCCCCCAUUUAGCCAACCAUUGGCUUCCAUUAAUUCUAUUACAGUGAGAGAAAUUGUAUCCCCCCAGAAAGAUAUGUGAAAGUCCCAGCCCCCACUGCUUAUGAAUGUGAUCUUACUUAGGGUCUUUGUAGAUGUAAUUCAGGAUCUUGAGAGGUGAUUAUCCCGGAUUAGGGAGGGCCCUAAAUCCAAUGACUGAUGUCCUUAAACAUGAAAGGAGAGGGAGAUGUGAGACAAAGACACAGGGGAGAAUGCCAUGUGAAGAUCCCUAUAAGGCUGGAGAGAGAGAUUGGAGUGAUGCUGCUACAGGCCAAAGAACACCAAGAAUUGCCAACCCCAUUGACAGCCUGAUUUCAGACUUCUGACCUCCAAAACUGUGGAUGGAAAGCCGAUUUCCAGUCUUUAUGAUAACGCCGAUGUUCCACUUGGGAAAGAUACUGUACAACAAUGAAAGUAGCCCUUUCUUUUGUCUUUCAAAGAAUGUAUUUUUAACAAACAGCCUCUGUGUGAUCCUUUUGACCACACAAUUUGUAGAGUUAACGCUGAAAUUUUCAUUAGCAACAAUGAAAGCACACACAGGCACAAUAUUAAUAUAGAUUAAUAUCAGCCUAUUUUGGUCAGAAAGGCUCAUUUAAAUGUUUAAGAGACAGAAGUCCCAAAUUGUAGUAAUUUCUUCCACUAGCAGGAGGAAGCUCAGAAUUAGUUUUUCUACAACACUAGAGGAAUACUACUCAAAAAUAAAAAGGAAUUAACCAUUGAUACAUGCAACAACACAGAUGAAUCUCAAAGUAAUUGUGCUGAAAGAAACCAGACCCAGAAAAAGAUAAAUUCUAUAUGAUCUCAUUUAUAUAAGACUCUAGGAAAUGCAAACUAAUCUACACAUACAGAAAACUGAGGGCAGGUACUGAGAAGGGUAGGAGGGGGGCGUUACAGAGAGGCAUGAGGAAACUUUUUGGGGUGAUAGAUAUGUUUACUACUUUGAUUGUAAGGAUGAGGUCGCAACUCUGUGCGUGUCAGUGGUAUAUUUUAAUAUGAACGGCUUAUUUUAUGUAAAUUCUACCCCUAUAAAGCUGUUUUUUUUAAAAAAAAAAACUUCUCUUUGAGAGACAUCACCUUUGUCUUUUAAACCAUCUAAUGUUGAAUCUAAAAGUUCAGUGUAAAGUUUAAUAAAAUCAGAGUGUGUAUGUGUCUUAAUUUCCAGGACAUAUAAUCAUAGUGAUUAAGCCAAAAGUGCUUAUAUGAUUACCUAUAAACUAUCAUAGUUAAAUGACUAAAUACCCUGCAUAAGGUAAAAUGAUUAUUUUAUUCCUAUAGAUUGAAAUUGCCCAACUUUUUAUUAGAGAAUAAUAGAUUAGAGGGCAUGUUGGCUCAUACCUGUAAGCCCAAUGCUUUGGGAGGCUGAAGCGGGAGGAUCCCUUGAGGCCAGGAGUUGAAGAUCAGCUUGGGCAACAUAGCAAGACCACAUCUCUACAAAAAAAUUUAAAAUAAAAUGUUUAUCCAAGCAUAGUGGCACUCACUCACCUGUAGUACUAGCUGCUGAGGAAGCUGAGGCCUGGAGUUCAAACUGCACAACGCUGCACUUCAACCUAUGUGACAAAGUGAGAUCCUAUCUCUAAAAUAAUUAAUUCAGUUUUUAUAAUUAGGGAACAUUUAAAUUCAGAUUAUAAGUAAAAAAUGGAAUAAACAGUCCUGUUACCUGAUAUGGUUUGGAUCUCCAUCCCUACCCAAAUCUUAUGUUGAAAUGUAAUCCCCAAUGCUGGAGGUGGGGCCUGGUGGGAGAUGAUUGGAUCAUGGUGGUGGUUUCUCAUGGUUUAACACCAUCGUCCCCUGGUGCUGUCGCCGUGAUGAUGAAUUCUCACGAGAUCUGGUUGGUUUAAAAGUGUGUGGCACCUCCCCCUUCUCUCUUGCUCCUGCUCCUACCAUGUGAGAUGCCUUGGUCCCCCUUUGCCUUCCGCCAUGAUUCAGAGUUCUCUGAGGCCUCCCCAGAAGCAGAUGCUGCCAUGCUUUCUGUACAGCCUGCAGAACCGUAAGCCAAUUAAACCUCUUUUCUUAUACAUUACCCAGUGUCAGAUAUUUCUUUAUAGCAGUGUGAGAAUGGAUUAAUACACUACGUCAUGCAAAAUGUAAAAACAGGCAACUCACUGAGAGUAAACCUAAUCAACUUGUUCAUUUAGAUAUAAACUGUAGAGACGACACUGCCAUCUAGUUGUUGAAUACUGAGUAUACUGUUGAAACAUUCUUGACAAUGUUCUAUUUCUCUUUUGUAGACUUACAAGGAACACACAGAAGCCCCUAACCAAUUACAUCUCCUUCCUAGGAGUGUGAAUGUGACUGCCAUAGUGCAGCCCAUGCUGCCCCUGGUAAUUAUAUGCCUCAACCCAAGCAGUGAUCUGUGGUCAGUGAUCUUUGAUGUUACUAUUUUGACCGUUUGUGGGCACCACAAACUGUGCCCAUAUAACAUCAGCGAACUUAAUAAAUGGUGUGUGUGUUCGGACUGCUCUACCAACCGGCCAUCCCCCUAUCUUUCUCCCUCUCCUCAAACCUCCUUAUUCCCUGAGACACAAUACUGAAAUCAGGCCAAUUAAUCACCCUGCAAUGGCCUCCCAGUGUUCAAGUUAAAAGAAGACUUGUACAUCUCUCAUUGUAAAUCAAAAGCUAGAAAUGGUUAAGCUUAAUGAAGAGGCAUGUCAAAAGCCAAGACAGGCUAAAAAAGCUAGGGUCUUGUGCCAAACCAUUAAUUCUUGAAGGAAAUUAGAAGUGUUACUCCAGUAAACACCUAAGAAAACCUUAUUGCUGAUACGGAGAAAAAGUUUUAGUGGUCUGGAUAGAAAAUCAAACCAGCCACAACAUUCCCUUAGGCCAAAGCCUAAUCCAGAGCAAGGUUCUAAAUUCAAUUCUAUGAAGACUGAGAGGUAAGGAAGCUACAGAAGUUUGAAGCUAGUAGAGGUUGGUUUAUGAGGUUUAAAGAAAGAAGUCAUCUCCAUAAAUAAAAGUGCAAGGUGAAGCAGAAAGUGCUGAUGUAGAAGCUGCAGGAGUUUAUCCAGAUCCAGCUAAGACCAUUGUUAAAGGUGGCUAUACUCAGUAACAGAUUUUCAAUGUAGAUGUAACAAGCCUUUUAUUGGAAGAAGCCACCUUAGACUUUCACCGCUACAGAGAAGUCAGUGCCUGGCUUCAAAUCUUCCAAGAACCGGCUGACUUGUUAAAAGCUAAUGCUGCUGGUGACUUUAUAUUGAAGCCAAUGCUCAUUUGCCAUUCUGAAAAUCCUAGGGCCCUUAACAAUUAUGCUAAAUCUACUCUGCCUGUACUCUAUAAAUGGGACAAAGCCUGGAAGACAGCACAUCUGUUUACAGCAUGAUUUACUGAAUAUUUUAAGCCCACCAUUGAGAUCUACUGCACAAAAAGAUUCCUUUCAAAAUAUUGCUGCUCAUUAACAAUCAUCUCGUAUCCCAAGAGCUCAGACGGAGAUGGACAACGAGAUUCAUGCUGUUUUCAAGCCUGCUAACACAAUGUCCACUCUAUAGCCCAUAGACCAUGGAGCAAUUUCAACUUUCAAGUCUUAUGAUUUAAGAAAUACAUGUUGUAAGGCUAUUGCUGCCAUAAAUAGUGAUUUCUCUGAUGGAUCUGUGCAAAGUAAAUUGAAAACUUUCUGGAAAGGAUUCACUAUUCUAGAUAUCAAUAAGAACAUUCAUGAUUCAUGGGAUGAGGGCAAAAUAUCAUUUACUGGAGUUUAGAAGUUGUUUCCUGUCCUCAGAGAUGACUUUUAAGGGUUCAAGACUUCAAUGGAGGAAGUAACUGCAGAUGUGGUAGAAAUUGCAAGAUAACUAGAAUUAGGCCAGGUGUGGUGGCUCAAGCCUAUAAUCCCAGCACUUUGGGAGGCUAAAGUGGGCAGAUCGCUUGAGGCCAGGAGUUUGAGACCAGCCUGGAGUGAAACCCUGUCUCUACAAAAAAUGCAAAAAAUUAGCCAGGCAUGGUGGCGUGUACCUGUAGUCCCAGCUACUCUAGAGGCUAAAGUGGGAGGAUCACUUGGGCCCAAGAGGUAGAGGCUGCAGUGAGCUGUGAUGGUGCCACUGCACUCCAGCCCGGGGGCAGAGCAAGACCCUAUCUCAAAAAGAAAAAAGGCCAGACGUGGUGGCUCAUGCCUGUAACUCCAGCACUUUGGGAGGCCAAGGCGGGAAGAUCAUUUGAGCUCAGAAGUUCAAGACCAACCUGGGCAACAUGGCAAAAUCCUGUCUCUACUAAAAAUACAAAAAUUAGCCAGGUGUAGUGGCACGCACCUGCAGUCUUAGUUCUUGGGAGGG